rnacentral:rRNA from 1 species
UACGUAGGGUGCAAGCGUUAAUCGGAAUUACUGGGCGUAAAGCGUGCGCAGGCGGUUGUGUAAGACAGAUGUGAAAUCCCCGGGCUCAACCUGGGAACUGCAUUUGGGACUGCAAGGCUAGAGUACGGCAGAGGGGGGUAGAAUUCCUGGUGUAGCAGUGAAAUGCGUAGAUAUCAGGAGGAAUACCGAUGGCGAAGGCAGCCCCCUGGGUCGAUACUGACGCUCAUGCACGAAAGCGUGGGGAGCAAACAGG